CAUCGCCCUUGUGGCCGGUUUCACCUGGCUACUCUUUGGAAGCUGAGGGGCAUCGGGGGAGUUGGAGAUCGAUGGCUGUCUGGAGAGGAGGAGCCUGAAUGAGUUUGUCGGAUCCGAAGCGGUCUGUGCUCUCGUCGGCCGCUCGCCGGUGAUGAGGGAUAGCGCGCGGCGGCGGGCGGGGGACUUCCGGCGGCCGGGAAGGAGGAGGUGGUUUGCCAGGUGGGGCUCGGUGUGGUGGCCCUGGCUGGUGUGCGGCGCCCUCGGGGCUCUCGUCCUGCUCGUCUUUCUGCUCGGACAUGGAGCGGGGCGGAGAUCGGACUCGUCCGUGAGCCCGCAGGUUUGGAUCUAGCUGUGCACGCUAAUUCUACCAAUAUUCUCGGCCUCUGCAACCCGUUUUGAAGUCCGUGGACGCAUCUCUCUGGUUUCAGUUCUGCUUGAGCUUUCAUUUCACAAUCAAACUCGGGAUUCUCGUGUUGUUUCCUCGUGAUUCUGAUUCGUGAUAAACCAUUGCGCCGGACAAGAAAAAGCGCCGAUGCGUGUACGGCCACUCUCUCAGAUUUGAGCUACAAAUAGUCAACUCUGGGAGGGCUGAUGAACCAGGCUUUGCCGCUAUGUGCAAGCAUCGUUCAUAUGAGAAUCUCUCCGGCCUGCUUCACCGGCGCGAUUCGGUCGAUUAUGAUACGAUUCAGGUUUGCAGAUCUUCAGACAUUCCAGUAGAAGUCAAAUGGUCGUUUAAACGGGCAUUAGUCGAAUGCAAGGAUCAUGAGGGGUUGAUCAUCACUCUGACCCGCUGCUGAUAAAAUUCAGGGACAGGAGAAGCACAAUUUUAAUCCGUUAUAUUCUUUUAGAUCGCCUCCAAUUCAGGGAGAAGCCAGUUGAGCAUCAUCUGAGAUCGUCAUUUAUUUUUCUGUUCUUAAAAAACUGCGAGGAUGUGUUUUCCUCACCCAUUUACUGAUUGCCAAAUUACUAAGUCGUAGAUUUUUUUUUUCCACAGCCUCACUUGCCAUAUGGGUUUCUUUUUGAGUGCCGAUUGAGAUCGGUGAGUCCGUCUGAUUGAUGCUCAUGUGGGUUGGCUGCCGAUUGCCUUAUCCGGGCAGCAGGCCAGCUGGGCAAGAUUGACUUUGUUCUGCGGUUGACCUGAGCGCUGAGGCCUUUUGAACUGGGUUGUAUGUCAGAUUGGAGGUGAUAGGGGCUGAUGAACUGGAAGAAUCUGUGACAUUUGUUGUAUGAAAUGACUGGAAGGAUCUUGGAUGAUUCUUAAGAUGCCAGGGGCUGGUUCAGAGUAUAAGAAAGUUCUUUUUCUGGGCAAAUUUGAGAUCUGUUCCCCAGCAUCUAGACUUUAAAGACUGAACAUAAUGGCCUGCGGACUAGGCAUGCUCUUGCUUGCGUCGAUUUCAAAACCCUAGCAGAGUUGACCAAAUAAAGCUAGCUGAUGAUAAGAUUAGGGUGAGGCUCAGUGAAGAUUUUUCCUUUCCCCUGUUGAUGAUCGGCUGGUCUUCUUCUGGACGUUAUUAUGAGCUCCUACCUCUUCUCAUAUGCGUGCAUAUGAUGAGAUGUUCCUUUAAGGAUAUAUGAAAUAGAUAAAUGACAUAUCACGUUGGAUUCACGCAAACUUUGAAUUUAAUUAAAUUUUUGGCUCUUCCAUUGUGUUUGAUUAAAUUAUUGUCAUUAUUAUUGUUUUCUCUGCAUAUUCCAUUAGAAUAUUAUGCUUUUAGGGCCCACAUGAUGCAUGGAGACUGAAAGAAAGUAAUGAUUUAAUUCUUUUUAUGGGUUUUUCCAUGAGAAUGUGUUACAUGUACUGUUGAUUUGAUUAGAGAAUUUGAUCAGCUAAGGGCCGCGUGUGCUGCUAUCAUCUCUCUCUCUCUCUCUCGCUCCAUAUUCUUCCCCUACUGUUUUCCUCACUCUUAUGCACAUUUUCUCUCUCUAAAUUCUCCAGAAAGAUCAACUAGGCUUCGCAUUCUGAAGUCUGCCUUAGGGGACAUGACUGGGCAGAAGGGUUUUGCUGCUAUUUUUGUAUUUCCCAGAAAAGAAAUUGUUGGGGAUGGCUGUUUAGUCAACCCCCGGUCCUUGGGAUCACGCUGCUUGAACGUCCUCGUAGAUUGCUUGAUGUUAACCUCGGAUUUCUGUGGAUUUGGAUUCGACAUUAUAUUUGUAUCUUCAGAGUCAGCCUUGGGUUUCUCGAUCACGUGUAUACAUUGACAUAUUCGUGCAUAAAACUGAGGAAGGUUAUGAGAGAGAGAGAGAGAGAGAGAGAGAGAGAGAGAGAGAGAGAGAGAGAGAGG
rnacentral:lncRNA from 1 species